GGCUUAGAGUUUGAUCAUGGCUCAGGAUGAACGCUAGCUACAGGCUUAACACAUGCAAGUCGAGGGGCAUCAGGAAGAAAGCUUGCUUUCUUUGCUGGCGACCGGCGCACGGGUGAGUAACACGUAUCCAACCUGCCCUUUACUCGGGGAUAGCCUUUCGAAAGAAAGAUUAAUACCCGAUAGCAUAAUGAUUCCGCAUGGUUUCAUUAUUAAAGGAUUCCGGUAAAGGAUGGGGAUGCGUUCCAUUAGGUUGUUGGUGAGGUAACGGCCCACCAAGCCUUCGAUGGAUAGGGGUUCUGAGAGGAAGGUCCCCCACAUUGGAACUGAGACACGGUCCAAACUCCUACGGGAGGCAGCAGUGAGGAAUAUUGGUCAAUGGGCGUUAGCCUGAACCAGCCAAGUAGCGUGAAGGAUGAAGGCUCUAUGGGUCGUAAACUUCUUUUAUAUAAGAAUAAAGUGCAGUAUGUAUACUGUUUUGUAUGUAUUAUAUGAAUAAGGAUCGGCUAACUCCGUGCCAGCAGCCGCGGUAAUACGGAGGAUCCGAGCGUUAUCCGGAUUAUUGGGUUUAAAGGGAGCGUAGGUGGACUGGUAAGUCAGUUGUGAAAGUUUGCGGCUCAACCGUAAAAUUGCAGUUGAUACUGUCAGUCUUGAGUACAGUAGAGGUGGGCG
rnacentral:rRNA from 1 species